GAUGAACGCUAGCUACAGGCUUAACACAUGCAAGUCGAGGGGAAACGAUAUUGGAAGCUUGCUUCCGAUAGGCGUCGACCGGCGCACGGGUGAGUAACGCGUAGUCAACCUGCCUAUCACUUGGGGAUAACCUUGCGAAAGUAAGACUAAUACCAAAUGAUAUCCGUCGAAGACAUCUGAAGAGGAUUAAAGAUUGAUCGGUGACGGAUGGGGAUGCGUCUGAUUAGCUUGUUGGCGGGGUAACGGCCCACCAAGGGGACGAUCAGUAGGGGUUCUGAGAGGAAGGUGCCCCAAAUUGGAACUGAGACACGGUCCAAACGCCUACGGGAGGCAGCAGUGAGGAAUAUUGGUCAAUGGACGAGAGUCUGAACCAGCCAAGUAGCGUGCAGGAUGACGGCCCUAUGGGUUGUAAACUGCUUUUAUAAGGGAAUAAAGUGAGUCUCGUGAGACUUUUUGCAUGUACCUUAUGAAUAAGGACCGGCUAAUUCCGUGCCAGCAGCCGCGGUAA
rnacentral:rRNA from 1 species